AGAGUUUGAUCAUGGCUCAGGACGAACGCUGGCGGCGCGCUUUAUGCAUGCAAGUCGAACGGACCUUCGGGUCAGUGGCGGACGGCUGAGUAACGCGUAGGCAACCUGCCCAGUGGUGGGGGAUAACUCGCCGAAAGGUGAGCUAAUACCGCAUGAGUUUGGUGGUUGAAAUACCGCCGAGGAAAGCAGCAAUGCGCCACUGGAGGGGCCUGCGUCCUAUCAGGUUGUUGGUGGGGUAACGGCCUACCAAGCCGAUGACGGGUAGCUGGUCUGAGAGGACGACCAGCCAGAAGGGGACUGAGACACGGCCCCUACUCCUACGGGAGGCAGCAGCAAGGAAUCUUGGGCAAUGGGCGAAAGCCUGACCCAGCGACGCCGCGUGAGGGAUGAAGGCCUUCGGGUCGUAAACCUCUUUUAUGGGGGAAGAAGUUCUGACGGUACCCCAUGAAUAAGCCACGGCUAACUACGUGCCAGCAGCCGCGGUAAUACGUAGGUGGCAAGCGUUGUCCGGAUUUACUGGGCGUAAAGGGCUUGUAGGCGGUUCGUUAAGUCUGGUGUGAAAUCUCCCGGCUCAACUGGGAGGGGUCAUCGGAUACUGGCGGACUUGAGGUAGGUAGAGGAAAGCAGAAUUCCUGGUGUAGCGGUGAAAUGCGUAGAUAUCAGGAGGAAUACCAGUGGCGAAGGCGGCUUUCUGGGCCUAUCCUGACGCUGAGGAGCGAAAGCGUGGGGAGCAAACCGGAUUAGAUACCCUAGUAGUCC
rnacentral:rRNA from 1 species